UAAACUCUCAGCCACCUAAACCAAACAAAGCAACACUUUCUCCUGCUUUUAGGGGCCACUAAGCACCUAUACAAUAUUCUACUGUAGCAUUUUUGAGUUGCCAGGGCUUAGAGAAUUCAUCCAGUGAUUUUGGCUGAGAUUCAGUCACACCAAAAUUAGAUUAGAUAACAUCCUCAGAGUAGGAGUCUGCACUUCCAUUUCUCUCUCAGUGUCCCUGCUGCCUUCCCUGGAAGAAACCUCCUACUUGGAGUGGUGGGGCAAGUGGUGAGGUGAGAUGCAGUGCACCUAAAGCGGCCUGAAAAUGCUAAAUGGCUCUGAUGAGUUUCUUCAAGCACUCUACCAGCUUUUCCAGGGGCCAAGAUCCCCACACAUCCAUAGAAGAUUGUGGUGACACUGAGAGCAUGUGGAAGGAUGUUCCUGUCCUUGAACCCAGCAGCAGACAGAGAACAAAGCCUGGUGUUUCGACAGAUAAUGUGCCACCUUCUUACCUCACAUGUGGCUUCUAGAAAUCUUUCAAACCUUUCUCUUUGAAUUAGCAGCAGAAAUUUGAAGAUAUUUCAUGUGAUGUUGGCAAUGGUCCUGUUUUCAGAGGAGGUUGGACUCAUCCUUCAGAGGUCUCUUCCAACCACUAUCUCCUCAGCCAUAUGAACCAGUCAAUAUUUAAUGCCCUGGAUUCAGGUCACUGAAUGCAAGCAUUGAAGGCCCAGUCCAUGUUUGUUGGGACAACAAAGCUCUUUUUCAGGCCAUAGAUAAAACUGAGCUUCUGAACUUAUGCAAUAUUUAUUUGCCACAAGUUUUCUCAGGCAUUAGUAGGAGAGAGGGUUCUUGUUUGAAAGCUCCAUAAAAGACACGUCAGAGAGAGACACCACAGCUCACUUUACCAGAAAGAGCAGCUGUUCUGCAGUAGUGCCCCAGCACCUCCUGCUUGUGCAGAGGGACGUGCCCAAAAAAGGAGGGUGCUUUGGCUUGUUCUGGACUCUCACAACAGUGACCUGUCUUCCUAGGGGUAGGUCUGGGCUGUGUCCUCCUGGGACAGAGGUGGAAGAGGGAGAGUGAGGGCACAAGGAUGUGAGCAGGGAAACAGAGAUGGGUGGUGUAGGAAAAUGAGAGAAAAAGGCAUCUCAGAACAAAUGUCAAGUGGAGUCCGGGGCACAGAGGGGAGCUGCCAUGUGGAAAUGGUGAGUAAGGAGAAUAUGGAGAGUGGUAGAGGGAAGUGGUGCAUUCUCCUCCCCUUGUCCUCAAGGGAGGGAGUGUGUUGUGUGGGGGAAAGCAGGCAUGUGCUAUGGGAUGGGGCACUAUGUGUGAUGUGAGGCGAGAGAGGAGGUGGUAUGGGGACCCCCUGAAGCAGAGAGAGGUCAGACAGACCAUCAGGGAUCUUGUGUGAAUAGCAGUGUCUCUUGCACACAGACCUAUGGAAGCAGCAAAGUGUACAACGCACAGGAUGCUCAAGGGAAGGCUGGAAGAACAUGUAGUUCUUCCAUCACAGCCUGACACCUUCUCCAGCUUUGAGCAAGGAGUGGGAAGAGGAGAGUGUUUGCAGGAAAAAGAGAUCUAACUCAAGAGUCACCUCUCUUCUUCUCCCUUCCCCCAUUCUUUAUGUGUAUUUGUGCAGUCAGGUACUUGAUGGGUGGUUUAAUGUAUUCAUUUUAUGUAUGCCAGGGUAGCUCCAUCACUGAUUGAACUCCACUGAAUCCAGAUCAUUAUUAGAAAAUUGCUUUAUAAAUAAGCCUGGACUGAGAGACACUUUCUAUGUUAAAUAGAAAGCAUUGUGCUUAUAGGCUGCCGCAUGUUUUCUUGAAACGCAAACACUGGCAGCAGGCACAUCAUUGUUAAACUAAUUAAAGUUUAAAGAGAGACCUUUAUACAUACUAGUCUAGCUAAUUUGUUGUCACAGGAUCAUAAUUCAUUAAAUAUAUUUUCUAUUGUUAGUUAAAUCAAUAGUGAGAAAAACAGAGCAUAUGGAAUAUGUCAGCUGAUGAGUCAAGAUGGAAGGAAACAUCUUUACUGAGUCUUUAAGAUAUGCCUUUUUCUACAGGUCCCUAGGAAGUUUCAGUGUAAAUAACUAUGAUGGACUUUGCCUGCAGAUAUCCUGCUAUGCUGAGCUGUGAUACUUCCAUUUUACAAAACCACUUGAAAACAAUGUUAAAGCAACUACUGCUUAGUGGUAAUUCAGGCCUCUGUAUUGGAGAGAAAAUUUGGAGGUGUAAAUGGAGGACAAAUUGAUCACAUGGCAUGAAAGUUAUGACAGUUUUAUUUAAAAUAGAUGUGUGAAAUGAUUCAUCCCAGGACACCAUACCUGU